UACGUAGGUGGCAAGCGUUGUCCGGAUUUACUGGGCGUAAAGAGCGCGCAGGCGGCCAAGUCAGUCGAAUGUGAAAGCCCCGGCUUAACUGGGGAGGGUCAUUCGAUACUGCUCGGCUCGAAGACAGGAGAGGGAAGCGGAAUUCCCGGUGUAGUGGUGAAAUGCGUAGAGUAUCGGGAGGAACACCAGUGGCGAAGGCGGCUUUCUGGCCUGUUCUUGACGCUGAGGCGCGAAAAGCUGAGGGUACAGCAAGGGGAUU
rnacentral:rRNA from 1 species